CGCCGCGGGAACACCGGCGGCCCGAGUGGUGAUCGUGAUUAUUGGGUCUAAAGGGUCCGUAGCCGGUUUGGUCAGUCCUCCGGGAAAUCUGAUAGCUCAACUAUUAGGCUUUCGGGGGAUACUGCCAGACUUGGAACCGGGAGAGGUAAGAGGUACUACAGGGGUAGGAGUGAAAUCUUGUAAUCCCUGUGGGACCACCUGUGGCGAAGGCGUCUUACCAGAACGGGUUCGACGGUGAGGGACGAAAGCUGGGGGCACGAACCGGAUUAGAUACCCGGGUAGUCCCAGCCGUAAACGAUGCUCGCUAGGUGUCAGGCAUGGCGCGACCGCGUCUGGUGCCGCAGGGAAGCCGUGAAGCGAGCCACCUGGGAAGUACGGCCGCAAGGCUGAAACUUAAAGGAAUUGGCGGGGGAGCACAACAACGGGUGGAGCCCUGCGGUUUAAUUGGACUCAACGCCGGACAACUCACCGGGGGCGACAGCAAUAUGUAGGCCAAGCUGAAGACUUUGCCUGAAUCGCUGAGAAGUGGUGCAUGG
rnacentral:rRNA from 1 species